UCAUGCGAAUGUAAACACAUACCAUAUUAACAAACUUUUAAGCUUUUAUUGAUCCAAAAUUAAUACCAAUUUUUCAUAUGAUCUUUAAAAAUGCAAAAUAAUGUAACAUAAUUCUUCGUAAGUUAACAGGAAGGAAAAUAACGAUAUAAUAUUUAAUAUACUCAUGGUAAAGAAAUGCUACAUUAAUUAAAUUGAAAGGCAAUUUUAUUAAAUGGGCAAAAGAGCAAGUGCUUCAAAUUAGUAAAAAACAAGUAAGGAAGGGCUAACUUCGGGUGUCACCGAACAUUUUAUACUCUCGCAUGAUAAAGUGAUAAUCGAGAUUUCAUUAUCCGUCAUUUACACUUUUUUUUAUUUUGCUGUAAAAUUAAUUAGAAUUAAAUUCUGAGAGAUUUACCGAUAUUUUCGGUUAGGUUAGGUUAGGCACUGAGUUCUUCGUGUUCGAUAUCAGGGACCUUGAAAAGUUAUAGUCCGAUCACGACAAUUUUUCCACAAGGGAUACCUCAGCUCAAAUACCGUAUUUGUGUAGAGAAGGCAUCAGAUGGAAUUCAAAAUAGCGUUAUAUUGGAAGAAGGCGUGGUUGUGAACCGAUUUCGCCCAUAUUUCGUACAUGUCAUCAGGAUGUUAAGAAAAUAUUAUAUACCGAAAUUCAUUGAAAUCGGUAGAGUAGUUCCUGAGAUAUGGUUUUUGGUCCAUAAGUGGGCGACACAACGCCCAUUUUCAAUUUUUAAAAAAAGGCUGGGUGCAGCUUCCUUCUGCCAUUUGUGCCGUAAAAUUUAGUGUUUCUGACGUUUUUUGUUAGUCGGUUAACGCAUUUUUAGUGAUUUUCAACAUAACCUUUGUAUGGGAGAUGCGCGUGGUUAUUAUCCGAUUUCUUCCAUUUUUGAACUGUAUAUGGAAAUA